GUCAAGUUAUUAAGGGUGCAGGGCGGAUGCCUUGGCACUAGGAGCCGAUGAAGGACGUGAUAAGCUGCGAUAAGCUUCGGGGAGUUGCACGUAAACUUUGAUCCGAAGAUUUCCGAAUGAGGAAACUCACUUAGAGUAAUGUCUAAGUAUCAUUAAGUGAAUACAUAGCUUAAUGAGGGGAACUCAGGGAACUGAAACAUCUAAGUACCUGAAGGAAGAGAAAGAAAUUCGAUUCCGUAAGUAGCGGCGAGCGAACGCGGAUUAGCCCAAACCAAUAAAGUUUUCUUUAUUGGGGUUGCGGACAUAUCAUAACGAAGAGGUAUCGUAAUUGAAGAGGUUUGGAAAGACCCACCACAGAAGGUAAUAGUCCUGUAUGUUAAACGAGAAGACUUCAGAUAUGAUCCAGAGUACCACGGGACACGUGAAACCCUGUGGGAAGCAGGAGGGACCACCCUCCAAGGCUAAAUACUACCUAGUGACCGAUAGCGUAUAGUACCGUGAGGGAAAGGUGAAAAGAACCCCGGGAGGGGAGUGAAAUAGAACCUGAAACCCUGCACUUACAAGCUGUGGAAGCACAUUUCUUGUGUGACCGCGUACUUUUUGUAGAACGGGCCAACGAGUUACGUUAAGUAGCAAGGUUAAGCACUUAAGGUGCGGAGCCGUAGCGAAAGCGAGUUUUAACUGAGCGUUCAGUUACUUGACGUAGACCCGAAACCGGGCGACCUACCCAUGAGCAGGAUGAAGCGAAAGUAAAAUUUCGUGGAGGUCCGAACCCACGAGCGUUGAAAAGCUCGGGGAUGACUUGUGGGUAGCGGUGAAAUUCCAAUCGAGCCCGGAGAUAGCUGGUUCUCCCCGAAAUAGCUUUAGGGCUAGCCUCAAGGUGAGAGAUACGGAGGUAGAGCACUGAAUGUCCUAGGGGGUAUUGCACCUACCGAAGACUAUCAAACUCCGAAUGCCGUCAUCUUAUACUUGGGAGUCAGACUGUGGGUGAUAAGAUUCAUAGUCGAAAGGGCAACAGCCCAGAUCGUCAGCUAAGGUCCCUAAAUGUAAGUUAAGUGGUAAAGGAUGUGGGAUUGCACAGACAACCAGGAUGUUGGCUUAGAAGCAGCCACUCAUUCAAAGAGUGCGUAAUAGCUCACUGGUCGAGUGAUCCUGCGCCGAAGAUUUCCGGGGCUAAAACUUACUACCGAAGCUACGGCAUCAGUAAUGAUGGGUAGGGGAGCUUCCCAUACGGGUUGAAGCAUGACCGUAAGGACAUGUGGACAGUAUGGGAGUGAGAAUGUUGGCAUGAGUAGCGAGAUGUGGGUGAGAAUCCCACAGGCCGUAAACCCAAGGUUUCCAGGGGAAGGUUCGUCCGCCCUGGGUUAGUCGGGACCUAAGCUGAGGCCGAAAGGCGUAGGUGAUGGACAACAGGUUGAUAUUCCUGUACUACCGAUAACCGUUUGAGAGAAGGGAUGACACAGUAGGAUAAGCUAAGCACACUGUUGGUUAUGUGUGCCCAAGCAUUGAGGCGGUCAAAGUAGGCAAAUCCGCUUUGAUAAUGCUGGGAUGUGAUGGGGAGCGAAAUUUAGUAGCGAAGUAGCUGAUUUCACACUGUCAAGAAAAGUCUCUAUCGAGGUUAAAGGUACCCGUACCGCAAACCGACACAGGUGGGUGAGGAGAGUAUCCUAAGGCCAGCGAGAGAACUGUUGUUAAGGAACUCGGCAAAAUGACCCCGUAACUUAGGGAUAAGGGGUGCCACCAUCAGGUGGCCGCAGAGAAUAGGCCCAAGCGACUGUUUACCAAAAACAUAGGUUUCUGCUAAGUCGCAAGACGAUGUAUAGGAGCUGACGCCUGCCCGGUGCUGGAAGGUUAAGGGGAUCUGUUAGAGCAAUCGAAGCAGUGAACUUAAGCCCCAGUAAACGGCGGCCGUAACUAUAACGGUCCUAAGGUAGCGAAAUUCCUUGUCGGGUAAGUUCCGACCCGCACGAAAGGCGUAACGAUUUGGGCACUGUCUCAACAACAGACUCGGUGAAAUUGUAAUUCCGGUGAAGAUGCCGGAUACCUGCGACAGGACGGAAAGACCCCAUGGAGCUUUACUGUAGCUUGACAUUGGGUCUUGGUACUACAUGUACAGGAUAGGUGGGAGGCUUUGAAACCAGGACGCCAGUUUUGGCGGAGCCAUCCUUGGGAUACCACCCUUGUAGUACUGGGACUCUAACCAUAGGCCAUGAAUCUGGUCUUGGGACACUGUCAGGUGGGCAGUUUGACUGGGGCGGUCGCCUCCCAAAAGGUAACGGAGGCGCUCAAAGGUUCUCUCAGUACGGUCGGAAAUCGUACGUAGAGUGUAAAGGCAAAAGAGAGCUUGAUUGCAAGACAUACAGGUCGAGCAAGGAUGAAAAUCGGACUUAGUGAUCCGGUGGUUCUGCGUGGAAGGGCCAUCGCUCAACGGAUAAAAGCUACCCUGGGGAUAACAGGCUUAUCUCCCCCAAGAGUCCACAUCGACGGGGAGGUUUGGCACCUCGAUGUCGGCUCAUCACAUCCUGGGGCUGUAGUAGGUCCCAAGGGUUGGGCUGUUCGCCCAUUAAAGUGGUACGCGAGCUGGGUUCAGAACGUCGUGAGACAGUUCGGUCCCUAUCCGUCGCAGGCGUAGGAAAUUUGAGAAGACCUGUCCUUAGUACGAGAGGACCGGGAUGGACGUACCUCUGGUGUACCAGUUGUCCUGCCAAGGGCAUGGCUGGGUAGCUAUGUACGGAAUGGAUAAGCGCUGAAAGCAUCUAAGCGCGAAGCCAACUUCAAGAUAAGAUUUCCCACCGCAAGGGUAAGACCCCAGAAAGACUAUCUGGUUGAUAGGUCGAAGGUGUAAGUGCAGUAAUGUAUUUAGCUUAUCGAUACUAAUAGGUCGAGGACUUGAC
rnacentral:rRNA from 1 species